rnacentral:lncRNA from 1 species
CGAUGGACCUGUUUAUCCACUGCUCACGUUGGCUGUGGAUGAGAGAACUGAUGCUUUAGCAGAACGGAUGAGUUGCCGUGUCCUACUUCCUCGUUCCUAGUGGUCUGGCAUUUACAAAAUGAAAUGGAAGGAUUGAUACACGCAUGUCCAUCAGAGAGUCAUCACCAAACUGAAACAGUUGAGGUUGAAGUAAAAGAUCAAAAGUAGAACUCUCACCCACUUCUCUAGCCCCAUGUCCAUCCACCUGAAUGGCUCCAUGCUUUUUCCACAAUGGACUAGACCUCUGAACUAUCAAAAACCUCUCAGAAAAGAGAACUGCUUGAAGUGACUCUUGUGCUCGGCAAAGUUGCAGUGGAGCGUGGAAGGUUCUGGAACUGAAACUUUCAUUUAUUUUAUUAUCCAAGCUGUGAAUUUCAAAAAUAACAAGUCAUUAUGAAAGUGAAACAUAAGAUGCUUAACUCCCACUGUUUUAAUCAUUUAAAAACCUCCUAGAAAUGAAAACAACUCCAACAGCU